ensembl:lncRNA
UUGCCUUGUGGAUGGGCACCUCAGCAUUUAUGACAGAUUUGAACAACUCAUUUGCACUUUGUUUUUAGGACAGACAGACGGACUACGCAAGGCCCAACCCCUGUCCUUCCCGCAAACAGAGGCUGGAGAAACCACACGUCCCCUUUCCAGAAACUGCUGCAGAUCUGACCUAGAAGCACCUCAGCGAUCCUGGUUCACACACGCAUUCACAUAAACUUGUUUACAUCAUGCCCAUAAAAAAGCUGCAUUCACUUUGUGAAUCUUCGACUAAGCUCUUAGAUUUUUAAAGCCAGAAGGGGUCAUAUGCUAAGCUGCUCGGUAAUUCCAGUCUUAGUAUUUUACCAAUUUGCCACUGUAGUGAGACUAAUAAAUCAUGCUCAGCUAAACAAUAUCUUUCAGAAAGGCAUCCACUCUUGAUCUGAAGACUUCAAGAGGUGGAGAACCCACCACAUCUGCUAGUAGCCUGGGUCAUUCAGCUUUAGCAGAGCACCUUCUGAGGAGAUUUCACUCUGCUGAUGUGCUGUUCUGACACAGCAUGUACUAUAAUGGAAAGGGCUUUUCCUGCUACAAUGCGAACAGAAGCUGGUCUGCAGCCAUCUGGGGUCCAGGACUCUACCUGUGGCACAAUCUAAAAGAGAUGGGGAACAUUUCAGCAUCCUUUCUCCCUUCAAUUUUGAUGGAAGACAGAACUCAGAUGCAGCAGGAUGAAGCAAUUCAUAGGCAACCAGGAAGGAGGCAGACAGCCCAACUGUCUUCCCAUGAUACUGUUAAUAUGGACUGCACAUCUAAUUGCAAAAACAGAGAAUGAGGAAUUGCGGGCAGGUUUUUUUCUUUGCUUUUUCUUUUUGCUUCCCCCUCGGCCCCCCAAAUAUUCUGAGACAUGAAUACAGGAAAGUGGAGGGAGAGAGGGAAAUAGGAAACAUAAGGAAAACUAUUUUAUUCGAUUCACUGAUAUUUUGGGCCCUAAAUUUCCUAUGGAUUUAUGCAAAGACUUCCAGACAGGCAAAGAGGCUUUAAGCCCUCACCUCAAAUUAAUACUCAGUACAAAUUACUCUCAGAGGCUUUGCACAUUUCCCAGCAAGGUGCUUCAAAAAAGAAAAACAAAAACCCGCAAACACAUGACUCGGAAACUGAUUUUCUUUUGCUCUAUCAUCUUAAGUUAGGAUUGUUUGGUUGGAAAACUUAGAUAUGUGUAUGCAAGUUUUUCUCCAAUUUCCACCACGCUAUUGCAUUCAAAAACAUUUCAUUAGACACACAAUAUGUUGGAGGUUCUAAGGGGAAAAAAAAAAAAGAUUUUCAAGGCCUUUAGAGGGAGUCCUAUACAAAGUCCAAGUGUGAAGCUCUUGAAGGCUUUCUUGUCCCCUUAUUGAGUGUUAAUGGGAUUUGUAUUGAUUCAUUGAUGGGAGAUUACAUUCCUUAGUGUCUCUGUCAUUAAUACACAUUGGUAAAAUGUAUGAUGUGUAGGAGGUCAAUAUCCAUAUUAUUUUUUCCUAAUUUGGUUUCUAGUAGUUGGAAAAGUGGCUCUGAGACAGCAGCCAACUGCAGCAGGGGCUGUUAAAGGAGGUCUUAUUUACCAGCAGCCAAAAGGAUAUCUUCAAACACUGAUUUUCAUGCACAGAUUGGCUCCACUUCUUCCUAUAUAUACAGUACCAGAAUGAUAAAAAAAAAAAAAAAAAAAAUUCAAAUAUUUAUACAUAUGGCUAAUUAGAACACCUGGCAUAGCAGGCAAGGAAGCUAAUAGGAAAGAGAUGGGGUGGAUGUGGAACUUGCAGUGUGUACUGCAUCCUAAACUGCUUGUUUUUUUUACU